UCCAGACUCCUACGGGAGGCAGCAGUGGGGAAUAUUGCACAAUGGGGGAAACCCUGAUGCAGCGACGCCGCGUGAGUGAAGAAGUAUUUCGGUAUGUAAAGCUCUAUCAGCAGGGAAGAAAUACUGACCUUACGGUCAGCAGACGGUACCUGACUAAGAAGCCCCGGCUAACUACGUGCCAGCAGCCGCGGUAAUACGUAGGGGGCAAGCGUUAUCCGGAUUUACUGGGUGUAAAGGGAGCGUAGACGGCAGCGCAAGUCUGAAGUGAAAUCCCAUGGCUUAACCAUGGAACUGCUUUGGAAACUGUGCAGCUGGAGUGCAGGAGAGGUAAGCGGAAUUCCUAGUGUAGCGGUGAAAUGCGUAGAUAUUAGGAGGAACACCAGUGGCGAAGGCGGCUUACUGGACUGUACCUGACGCUGAGGCGCGAAAGCGUGGGUAGCGAACGGGAUUAGAUACCCGAGUA
rnacentral:rRNA from 1 species